rnacentral:rRNA from 1 species
UACAGAGGGUGCAAGCGUUGUUCGGAAUUAUUGGGCGUAAAGGGAGUGUAGGCGGCUCUUUAAGUCUUCUGUGAAAUCUACGGGCUUAACCUGUAACGUGCAGAGGAUACUGUGGGACUUGAGUCCGGGAGAGGAUAGUGGAAUUCCCAGUGUAGAGGUGAAAUUCGUAGAUAUUGGGAAGAACACCAGUGGCGAAGGCGGCUCACUGGCCCGGUACUGACGCUGAGGUGCGAAAGCGUGGGGAGCAAACAGG